GGACGUUUAGCUCAGCUGGUUCAGAGCACUACCUCGACAAGGUAGGGGUCACUGGUUCGAACCCAGUAACGUCCACCA
rnacentral:tRNA from 1 species